GACGAACGCUGGCGGCGUGCUUAACACAUGCAAGUCGAACGGAAAGGCCCUGCUUUUGUGGGGUGCUCGAGUGGCGAACGGGUGAGUAACACGUGAGUAACCUGCCCUUGACUUUGGGAUAACUUCAGGAAACUGGGGCUAAUACCGGAUAGGAGCUCCUGCUGCAUGGUGGGGGUUGGAAAGUUUCGGCGGUUGGGGAUGGACUCGCGGCUUAUCAGCUUGUUGGUGGGGUAGUGGCUUACCAAGGCUUUGACGGGUAGCCGGCCUGAGAGGGUGACCGGCCACAUUGGGACUGAGAUACGGCCCAGACUCCUACGGGAGGCAGCAGUGGGGAAUACUGCACAAUGGGCGGAAGCCUGAUGCAGCAACGCCGCGUGCGGGAUGACGGCCUUCGGGUUGUAAACCGCUUUCGCCUGUGACGAAGCGUGGGUGACGGUAAUGGGUAAAGAAGCACCGGCUAACUACGUG
rnacentral:rRNA from 1 species